rnacentral:misc_RNA from 1 species
GUUUUUUAUAUUCUGGUAUUAGUUGCCACUGAACCAGAUGAUUGAUGACACCUUGGAGAAGUGCUGGAAUUGGUUCUAUAUUACUUGUUUGGUUGUUGCUUGUAGCUUCCUCCGUUAUAUGUCCAAAGAUUGGAACACCGAGCUGAAUCAGCUCUCUCUUGUUUCCCUUCAUCUGCUUGUUGAAUAAAAUAAAAGUCUCCCCUGCAAGUUCUCCAUUCUGACCAGCAACUCGGAGUUCAUUAACGAAGUCAGUCAACUUAGAUAGCUCAGAAUCAGUGAAAACGUCCUCAUAUAACUUUAAACCUUUAACAACAUUCACCAUGUGCCCUUUCACUUGUUCCUUGGCUGAGAAACCUUUUGUCAACUUGAUUUGAUCACGACGCAGAUUGCAGUCUUCAUGGUUGGAACAAAUGUCAAUGCUCUGACUAGUGGGCUGCACUUCUUGAGAUCCUGUAUCAGUAAUAUCGCUAUCUGGCGAAUCCUCCUCUUCCACAAUCUCGCCGCCAUCUCCACCUUCAUCUACACCGUUUUCUAUGUUUUCCGUCGCUUUUUCUCCAACUUUCUUUUCCUCGACCAAACACAACUCCUUCAACACCACCUCACUCUUAUUUUCACUUUCACCAUUCUUUUCAUUCAAUUUCCUCUCUGCCACUCGCUUUAGUUCCGCUGCAACGUCAGCAAUCGAGUGAUAUUUCUGCAUCUGGAGCACGGGGAUCCAGUUCAGCCUCCUCCGAUGAAUAGCGGCGAAUACCUCCUCGUACUCGGAUCCUGGUCCUCCGCUGAGCUGCGCCAGGUGACUGCAGAGCGCAUCGAUUAC